CUCUGAGAGAGCUAGAAUUUAUUGGCACUCCUCUCCUGGAAGCCAACACCCAUGAAUGCUGACAUCUGUGUAUACCUACAAUUCCGUAAGCAUUUGGCUUGGACAAGGUCCUGGUGACUUGAUCCCCUGCCACCACAGAGCUUCUCAAUAGGGGCUCAUCAGGGCCUAAGGGCAAGCGAGGGCAGUGCCUCACAGGAUGAGGGGGGGACGCAGGCCCAGCUAAGGGAGGAAAGCUGAAGUAGAUUCAUCGGAACCCUUCUAACUUCUGCUCCCUCUCCCCGCUCUAAAACGCUUCAGACCACACCCCGGAGCCUGCUUUGCAGUCUCAGGAAAUCAGCCUGUGUUGAUCUUCAGCAGCAUUACAAACAAGAGAAUUUUAAAAAAUGAGCAAGACAAUACAAAUCACUGAAAAGAAAUCGAACAGGAAUUACCAGACUCUCAUGCAUGCACAGGAACCCCAAGAUAGCAGCUCCUCCUGUGACCACAAUGCGGCCCAGCGCCUCAACAGAGGCUCAGAAUAUGAAGGAGCCAACCCAGGAUGCCAUGUUGUAUUGAGUGGCAAGCUCUUUUCUAACCAAGUCCCCCUGAGCUAAUCUAGCUGGUCUUUCCAGCUUCCCUGUGCACCCAUUCUAUGCCAAGCCCUGGUGAGAAUACCUCGGAUGGACAAAAGUGAGUAAGUUCUUGAGUAGUUCACCGUCCCAUUGGUGAGUCCAAUGCAUGAGUACCACCGAGAUAUGUGCACAAUUACAGGGACUUGCAAAAGCUGCCAAAGGACUGUGGAUGACAGGCACAGCUCUUUCUGCCUGGGGCCUCACUGGGGACACAUUUCUAGGAGCCUGGGAAAAUCACAUCAUUCCUAGUAGCACGGUCGGAAGUCUGGGAAGAUGAUACAUAGGAUCCCUCCCACUGGAUAUUUUUUGUUUUUGUUUUUGUUUUUGUUUUGGUACUGGGGAUCGAAUUCAGGUCCUUGUGCUUGCAAGGCAGGCACCAGAACCACUGAGCUAAAUCCCUGGCCCCCACCCACUGGAUUUUGAUAGAAAAGGGAAAAUACUGCUGGGCUGAGCUGACGAUGGAUGCUUAGAAGCUGAAAAUGUCUCUGUCUCCAAAAAUAAUGAAGGGAAGCACCUAGGAAAAUUGAGUUUCUG
rnacentral:lncRNA from 1 species